rnacentral:lncRNA from 10 species
GUAGGUGAUACGGUUUGGCUGUGUCGCCACCCAAAUCUCUUCUCGAAUUUCCACAUGUUGUGGGAGGGACCUACUGGGAGGUAAGUGAAUUGUGGGGGCAGGUCUUUCCCGUGCUAUUCUCCUGAUAGUGAAUACGUCUCAUGAGAUCUGAUGGUUUUAAAAAUGGGAGUUUCCCUGUGCAAGCUCUCUUCUCUUGUUUGCCACCAUGUGAGAUGUGCUUUUCACCUUCUGCCAUGAUUGUGAGACCUCCCCAGCCACGAGGAACUGAAUAAUACACUUGCGCACACAGAGAGACACUAAGGGUGUGCACGCACAGAGAAAAGACCAUGCGAAGAGGCAACAAGAGGGCAGCCACCUGCAAGCCAAGAAGGAAAGACUUAGGAGAAACCAGGCCUGCUGAUGUCUUGUUCUUGGGCUUCUGGCUUCUAGAACUGUGCAAGAACUAGAUUCCUGUUGUUUAAAACCCCCUAGUUGUGGUACUUCAUCACAGCCGCCCUGGUAGACUAAACUUGUAUUUGUCUGUUCUCAUGCUGCUAAUAAAAACAUACCUGAGACUGGGUGAUUUGUAAAGGAAAGAAGUUUAAUGGACACAAAGUUCCACAUGGCUGCGGAGACCUCACAAUCAUGGUGGAAGGCAAAGGAGGAGCAAAGGCACAUCUUACAUGGUGGCAGGCAAGACACCUUGUGCAGGGGAACUCCCAUUUAUAAAACCAUCAGAUCUAAUGAGACGUAUUCACUACCACGAGAACAGUAUGGGGGAAACCUUUCCAAUGAUUCAAUUAUCUCCACCUGGCCCCACCCUUGACACAUGGGGAUUAUUAUCAUUCAAGUUGAGAUUUGGGUGGGGACACAGCCAAACUAUACCAAAAUCCUAUUCUCUUUUUGUCCUGCCAAUUUUUUCAGUAUUUACAAUUUGCCUUCCUAUAUACCAUAAUCUCCUACAAUAUUUCUGUCUUCUUCACAUGCAACAACUCCUUAAGUUGGUAUUUCUGUGUCUACUUCUAUGAAUUAAGAAACUAUUACAGCUGGUGAGCAGGAGAGCUGGUGCUAUAGACCGAGCAUUUGUCUCCCCAAAAUUCACAUAUUUGAAAUCCUAAUCCCCAAGGUAAUGGUAUUAGGAGGUAGGGGCCUUUGGCAGGUGAUUAGGUCAUGAGGGCAGAGCCCUGGUGAAUGGGAUUAGUGCCCUUACAAAAAGAGACCACAGAGAAUCCCCUGGGCCCUUCUACCAUGUGAGGACAUGGAGAGAAGGAGCCAUCACUGAACCAAGAAUUGAGCCCUCAUCAGACUGAAUCGGCCGGCUCCUUGAUCUUGGUCUUCUCAGUUUCCAGAACUGUGAGAAAUAAAUUUCUGUUGUUUAUAAGUCGCCCAGUCUACGGUAUUCUAUUACAGCAGACGGAACAGACUAAGCCAGCUGUCCUCCAACACAUGGUUACACAGCCCAAAUGCUUCUUGAUGCAUUGCACUGCUAAGUUAAGCUGGAGUGCAAAUAUGGAGAAGAACGUAAAUGCACAGGCAUGAGAUUCUGUAACUUGUCAUUAAACCACAGCUCCAAAGCUGAAGAGUAAUGUCAUUGUAAUUCACCAAUCUUUUUUUUUUUUUAUUAUUAAACUACCAUUCAUGCAGCCAGGGCGGUGCAGAUCCCUUCCUGAAAAAUUUUGACAACCUCCAAGUACCAUUCAGAAACAUGAAGGGCUCUCAGUGGGACCUUGUUAUUCUGAGCAUUAACACAAAGCCAUUUCACACAAUACAAUACAACUUGAUUUUGUAUGGCACCCCAUUCCAGUAGGGACCCCAGUGGAAAUUCAUGCAUCCUGUUUUUAAUCCUCCUGGAGUGAUUUAAUUUCAAACAUACAACUACUUUUGCUUAAUGCAACCUGCAUUUGAAGAAAGGUUCCUUCUUGACAACUUGAGUGAGAGGAUGACAAGGUCUUUAUUCUGACUGUGACUCAAUAGACCACAUUUUGCCUCUGAUGAGGGUAUAUGAAUACCACCUAGGGAGGGUGGUAUGAAUGGUACUUGGAGUUUGUCAAAAUUUUUCAUUUCCCCUCCUGUAUGAAGUACUUAUGGACUAAAAUUAUAGUAUUGAAUAACAACAAAAACUAUCAAAAUGACUUAAUAUUUUUUUCGUUUCCUUGAAAAUAAAAAUUCUGUUUACUCACCUAUUAUAGAAAGACAGCUUGGUCAAGUGGAGCCAACAGCAAGUUGUAAUUCUUGGUUUUUGCCCCAGGAAAAACUUUGCCAAGUUGUGUGACCUUAGGAGGAACAGCAUUUCUUCCCUCUGGAGGAUGUACCAUUCAGAGAACCACCUCAAAUGUGGAAACCAGGCCCUUGUCAGACACCAGACCUGAACACACCUUGACCCUGGAUUUCCUAGGCUCUAGAACUGUGAGAACGAAAUUUCUGUUUUUUAUAAAUUACCUAACCUCAGGACCUCUGUCAUCGCAGCAUAAAUGACCUAAGACAAGUAGACUAACAGAAUGAAUACAAGCAAGAUAUAAAAUAUUAGAGGGUUGCAUGGCACAUGGAAAAUGAUAACACUGAAUAACUACACAACUAAUAAUGAAUGUAAUUUGUAAUAACUACAAAACCUGUAUAAAUAAAGGUACCUAAGAAUUUUCCUAGCCGAGA